UAUUCGCCGGUGUAUAGUCGUAGAUUGUCGCGGCGGGAAUUUUCAGUCUAUUUCUAAGUUCACGGCCGCAAGAGCUGUCUUGGUUACGAAUAUCGAGAUAUUUAAUAUUCAAUUUCCUUGAUGUCGUCAAGUUAGAAGUUCGCCAUUUUGAAUUUAUUAGCUAUCAACGAGGAAACUAACAUGUUGACUAUUUUCUAUUUUAUAAAGUAUGUGUGUGUGGCAGUUAUACAUAUCUAAAUUCGAAAUAUGUCACUAAUUAGAUCCAGUUUUAGAUGCCCUUUGAAAACAAUAAACAAUAAUUGCUUCUUGCGGAAAGUUGUUCACUGUCAUGAAUACUAUUACCGGCUUCAGCUUAGUUGACGGGAUCUAUUUCUGAACUAUAAU